CAGUAGCCGCGGGAAUACGAAGGGGGCUAGCGUUGUUCGGAAUUACUGGGCGCAAAGCGUGCGUAGGCGGUUCGUUAAGUCUGUUGUGAAAGCCCCGGGCUCAACCUGGGAAUGGCAAUGGAUACUGGCGAGCUAGAGUGUGUCAGAGGAUGGUGGAAUUCCCGGUGUAGCGGUGAAAUGCGUAGAGAUCGGGAGGAACAUCAGUGGCGAAGGCGGCCAUCUGGGACAACACUGACGCUGAGGCACGAAAGCGUGGGGAGCAAACAGGAUUAGAUACCCGUGUAGUCCCUGUCUCUUAUAC
rnacentral:rRNA from 1 species